AAAAUUACUUACAACUUAUGUUCUCCAUGGGACACUUUCAGAUGCAAAGUUAAUGAAUUAGCCAACAUUAAUUUAUUCUCUUCUCCCUUCCAGCAAACAAAAUAUUCUUAUGAUUCUUUUCAUAGCCUGGUGGUGGUAUUGUUUAUGUACGUGUCUAUGUCUUCACUUACUUUGUGAACCACUGAAAGGCAAUGGCAGAACUGCUAUUCCUUACAUGCAUAAGCUAAACCAUAAAGGAGAUACAGUCAAUACAAAUAUGAAAGCAAGAUUUGUAUGAUCAAGUGGAAUUAAGAUGGCAGCUAAAGAUGGUAAAGUUAUGUUUCACAUAGCAUCUUCCUCCAAGAACUCAUAACUUGAACAACAAAUCUUUGAUGGAGAGUGAGAACCGAAAAAUCACACCAGAAGCAAUCAGCAAAAAAAGGCAAUCACCUGCAUAGGCAGAAAUAUCCAAGUGUUCCCAAGAUUUAGAUUUUGCAAACACAUGUGGCACUUAGCUAAACCCUGAAGAGGAGUGCUAAAAAGAAGCAAAGGGAGAAAAGAGUGAGUGAGGGCAAGUGGAAGUGAUGAAAGUGCUCACAAGUAAAAGACAAGCUCCAACUUAGAAAGAAAAUUAAGAGUGGAUACCAACGAGUAAUGAUAUCACACUCUGGGGUGUAGAGAAAAACUUUCCUUUCUAGUGAAAUUCCCCUCAAUAAAAAUCUAUAUAACAUCAGAUACAGAAAUCAUUACUGGGGUUAGCUAUUUUUGUGAAAAUUUGGAUUUAGUUUUUGGUUUGCAGUAAGAUGACAUUUAGCCAAGCAAAUACUAAAGAGAUAACUUAAAAAGAGAAAUAUCUAUUAGAAAGCAAGCUUCAGAUAAUUAAAAAAAAAACAGGAGGACACCAACAUAAAAAUUUAGUCAUGAG
ensembl:lincRNA